rnacentral:lncRNA from 1 species
UUACAUCAGCAAAACUAUACUCUAUAGGCACACAACCCAACACUUCUAACUCCAUUUUUUGUACAACUUCAGUUAACCAAUUUAAGCUAGAACCAGAAAAGUGGGCUGUUGUUAGAGCUAUUUACGACCUUCCCAUUGAGCAAGGUCAUACAACCAGGUUAUCGCAAAUAGGAACUUUUUGUUAGCCAUCAAAUAAUGGCCUAGAAAGGUAAAGUUCCUUCCAUAGUUCUAUUUGUGCCAUCACAUGCAUAAGUGUUAAUGCAUCUACAUUAUUUGAGGAUCAAGAUGAUAAUAAAGUGUAUGUCAAGCAAAACAUCUCUUUCAUGCGCCUUGGCAAGGCGAAGAAAAAUAAGCCCCUUAGCUCUAGUAUUAGACCUACAAGGUUUAGAGGGAUGAGUUGAGCCACAUCUUCCAUUUGAAGCCAAAGAGAUCACCGUUACCAAAGCUAAGGAGAAGAAGAAUGGAAAAGAGAAGGAGACUCUGAAAGAGAAAAUUAUGAAGAGGUGGAUGAAUAUCUCCAAAAAAUACUAAUCCACCCCUCCUCCAAAAAGACAACUCACUGUCAAGGAGUUUAGGAAAAAUCACUGAUGGUUGAGCCAAUUUC